rnacentral:rRNA from 1 species
AUUGAACGCUGGCGGCAGGCCUAACACAUGCAAGUCGAGCGGUAACAGAACUAGCUUGCUAGUUGCUGACGAGCGGCGGACGGGUGCGUAACACGUAGGAAUCUGCCCGGUAGUGGGGAUAGCCCGGAGAAAUCCGGAUUAAUACCGCAUACGUCCUACUCUUUUUCGGAAGAGGGGGGAAAGCAGGGGAAUCUUCGGAUCCUUGCGCUAUCGGAUGAGCCUGCGUCGGAUUAGCUAGUUGGUAGGGUAAAGGCCUACCAAGGCAACGA